rnacentral:rRNA from 1 species
CAGCAGCCGCGGUAAUACAGAGGGUGCGAGCGUUAAUCGGAUUUACUGGGCGUAAAGCGUGCGUAGGCGGCUUCUUAAGUCGGAUGUGAAAUCCCUGAGCUUAACUUAGGAAUUGCAUUCGAUACUGGGAAGCUAGAGUAUGGGAGAGGAUGGUAGAAUUCCAGGUGUAGCGGUGAAAUGCGUAGAGAUCGGAAGGAACAUCUGUGGCGAAGGCGACUAUCUGGGCCAACACUGACACUGAGGCACGAAAGCGUGGGGAGCAAACAGGAUUAGAUACUCCCGUAGUCCCUGUCUCUUAUAC